rnacentral:rRNA from 1 species
CCCGCAACGAGCGCACCCCUUAUCCUUUGUUGCCAGCGCGUCAUGGUGGGAACUCAAAGGAGACUGCCGGUGAUAAACCGGAGGAAGGUGGGGAUGACGUCAAGUCAUCAUGGCCCUUACGAGUAGGGCUACACACGUGCUACAAUGGCAUAUACAAAGAGAAGCGAACUCGCGAGAGCAAGCGGACCUCAUAAAGUAUGUCGUAGUCCGGAUCGGAGUCUGCAACUCGACUCCGUGAAGUCGGAAUCGCUAGUAAUCGUAGAUCAGAAUGCUACGGUGAAUACGUU